UAUAUCUGUCUACACAUGCAGGCUUUAUUUGAGACUGAAUCUGUCAAAACUGGAGUGGGGAAGCACUUGGUUUGCUUGAUAUAAGGCUCCUGAAACUGAGUCUAUCUUGGAGAAGAUGCUGUAGCUUUAAAGAUGCUUUGACUUGAGGAUUAGUUUAAACAGGGGGCUAUAAAAGAUGUAACAGAUGCAAACUGUAAAACAAGGGCAAUUAACCCUUGCUCUUCUGAACAAAAUCCACCCUAGCCUCAGCAUCUAUUGUCUACUCCUACGCUGUAAAGCUUUACACAAAACCGAGAAAUUGAUGACCUGUCUCCACACAUUUUGUAACAAAGUGGAUUUAGUUUUGAUUUUUCCAUUUUAACUUUAGUAAAGAUUUACAUCAGGAUGGAUCAGUUAAGUAUGCUGCUCUUAUGUCUUGUUGGCUCUGAACUCGCCUUUCUUAGGCUUUUGAUGAUAAAACAGGGUUGCUUUAAAAAUCUAUGUGCAGGAGAGAGAGGAGAGACCCUGAAACACACGCCACCUAUCUUUGUGGGGAGGGAUAAUUGAAGAGCACCAAACGUGAGCAUCAUGUGGAAACGUGAUCGCCAAGUUUCUCUCUGGGAAAGGAUCUGGGAUAGAUUAUACCUUGAAGUCUCCGCAAACGCUUUAGUGGAAGAAAUGAAAUUCCACCUCCCUCC